rnacentral:rRNA from 1 species
UACGAGGGGGGCGAGCGUUGUUCGGAAUUAUUGGGCGUAAAGGGUGCGUAGGCGGCCUGACAAGUCUGAUGUGAAAUCCCUGGGCUCAACCCAGGGCCUGCAUCGGAAACUGUCGGGCUUGAGUAUGGGAGAGGUGAGUGGAAUUUCCGGUGUAGCGGUGAAAUGCGUAGAUAUCGGAAGGAACACCUGUGGCGAGAGCGGCUCACUGGACCAUUACUGACGCUGAGGCACGAAAGCUAGGGGAGCAAACAGG